GACGAACGCUGGCGGCGUGCUUAACACAUGCAAGUCGAACGGAAUGGCCCUGCUUUUGUGGGGUGCUCGAGUGGCGAACGGGUGAGUAACACGUGAGUAACCUGCCCUUGACUUUGGGAUAACUUCAGGAAACUGGGGCUAAUACCGGAUAGGAGCUCCUGCUGCAUGGUGGGGGUUGGAAAGUUUCGGCGGUUGGGGAUGGACUCGCGGCUUAUCAGCUUGUUGGUGGGGUAGUGGCUUACCAAGGCUUUGACGGGUAGCCGGCCUGAGAGGGUGACCGGCCACAUUGGGACUGAGAUACGGCCCAGACUCCUACGGGAGGCAGCAGUGGGGAAUAUUGCACAAUGGGCGGAAGCCUGAUGCAGCAGCGCCGCGUGCGGGAUGACGGCCUUCGGGUUGUAAACCGCUUUCGCCUGUGACGAAGCGUGAGUGACGGUAAUGGGUAAAGAAGCACCGGCUAACUACGUGCCAGCCGCCGCAGUAA
rnacentral:rRNA from 1 species